rnacentral:rRNA from 1 species
UACGUAGGGUGCGAGCGUUAAUCGGAAUUACUGGGCGUAAAGCGUGCGCAGGCGGCGCGUUAAGACAGGUGUGAAAGCCCCGAGCUUAACUUGGGAAUUGCGCUUGUGACUGGCGUGCUGGAGUGUGGCAGAGGGAGGUGGAAUUCCACGUGUAGCAGUGAAAUGCGUAGAGAUGAUGGAGGAACACCGAUGGCGAAGGCAGCCUCCUGGGCCAGCACUGACGCUCAUGCACGAAGCG